rnacentral:rRNA from 1 species
GAGAGUUAAACAGUACGUGAAAUUGUUGAAAGGGAAACGAUUGAAGCCAGUCGUACCUUCGGGUAAUCAGCCUUUCGGGUGCGAUUCUGUGGAGUGUGAGGAGCUUAAACACCUUCAUGUUUUGCAUAUUCGUACUCUUGGGUGUACUUGUCCGUGUGGUUGGUUAACAUCAAUUUUGGUGGUCAUAAAAUGACUGGGGGAAUGUAGCUUCGAUCUUGUAUUGAAGUGUUAUAGCCUUCGGUAGAUGUGAUGAUCGAGAUUGAGGAUUGCAACGGAUACCCUUCGGGGCUACCUGUCUGGUCUCUGAUCGUUGCUCUGGUGCCGAAAGCUUGCUUACGGUUAUCAAAGUCGAUGGUCAAUAGGUUAGAACGGGUUAAAUUCGUUAAGGAUGUUGACGUAAUGGCUUUAAACGA